rnacentral:rRNA from 1 species
AUUGAACGCUGGCGGCAGGCCUAACACAUGCAAGUCGAACGAGUGGCGGACGGGUGAGUAAUGUCUGGGAAACUGCCUGAUGGAGGGGGAUAACUACUGGAAACGGUAGCUAAUACCGCAUCCCAUCGGAUGUGCCCAGAUGGGAUUAGCUAGUAGGUGGGGUAAAGGCUCACCUAGGCGACGAUCCCUAGCUGGUCUGAGAGGAUGAAAGGCCACACUGGAACUGAGACACGGUCCAGAAGCCUACGGUAGGGAGCAGUGGGGAAUAGUGCACAAUGGGAGCAAGCCUGAUGCAGCAAUGCCGCGUGUGUGAAGAAGGCCUUCGGGUUGUAAAGCACGUUCAGCGGGGAGGCGUUACCCGCAGAAGAAGCACCGGCUAACUCCGUGCCAGCAGCCGCGGUAAUAC